rnacentral:rRNA from 1 species
CAGCAGCAGCCACGGUAAUACGUAGGUGGCAAGCGUUGUCCGGAAUUAUUGGGCGUAAAGGGCUCGCAGGCGGUUUCUUAAGUCUGAUGUGAAAGCCCCCGGCUCAACCGGAGAGGGUCAUUGGAAACUGGGAAACUUGAGUGCAGAAGAGGAGAGUGGAAUUCCACGUGUAGCGGUGAAAUGCGUAGAGAUGUGGAGGAACACCAGUGGCGAAGGCGACUCUCUGGUCUGUAACUGACGCUGAGGAGCGAAAGCGUGGGGAGCGAACAGGAUUAGAUACCCCCGUAGUCCCUGUCUCUUAUAC